rnacentral:tRNA from 1 species
GGAAUAAUUAAUUUAACUAUAAAAUACUCAGUUUCGGCCUGAGAAAUCACGUUGGUGUGAUGUUCCU